GUGGGGAAUAUUGGACAAUGGGGGCAACCCUGAUCCAGCAAUGCCGCGUGAGUGAAGAAGGCCUUCGGGUUGUAAAGCUCUUUUACCAGGGAAGAUGAUGACGGUACCUGGGGAAUAAGCUCCGGCUAACUUCGUGCCAGCAGCCGCGGUAAUACGAAGGGAGCUAGCGUUGUUCGGAAUUACUGGGCGUAAUGGGCGCGUAGGCGGCUCUGUAAGUCAGAUGUGAAAGCCCCGGGCUUAACCUGGGAACUGUAGUUGAUACUGCAGAGCUAGAGAUCGAGAGAGGAAAGUGGAAUUACGAGUGUAGAAGUGAAAUUCGUAGAUAUUCGUAGGAACACCAGUGGCGAAGGCGACUUUCUGGCUCGAUACUGACGCUAAAGCGCGAACGCGUGGUGCGCAAACACGCUUAGAAACCCCGGUAGUCC
rnacentral:rRNA from 1 species